UGGUCAUGUUCAUUUGACUCCUGAACACCAA
rnacentral:piRNA from 1 species